UUAUAUAUAUGAUCAUGACUACUAUAAUUGUACUUUUAAUUACUUUACUUCAUGAAGUAGAACUUUGAACUGUUUGAAAAAGUGUUACAUAAAAACUUCAGUGCAUACAUUUUAACAUUUUUUAAUACAGUACAAACUUUUUAGGUAUGAUUAGAUAAGGCGCUGUUAAAUUACAUGACAGGUGACCCGUAAAAUUUUAUGGUUCUGUUUCUACUUAUUUGGAGGACUUCCGGCAUACAUGGUAUAACAAUAAAUCAGUACUCCUCUCAAGUACUCUAUGAAAAUGCUACGUUCUUAAUAACAAGCGUAAAUUGAAUGCGUCAACUUUUAAUAAAAAAACUAAGUUUUUUUUUACUGCGAAGUUGGAUAAAUACAUAACGUAACAGUCGAUGCGUCAAGAAACUAUUUUUUUUAAUUGCGAUGGAAAUACACGUCUGUAGAAUUUAAAUAAUAAUUAUAGGCGUUAUUUUAUCUAGGAGCUAUUAUUCUACAAUUUUCUGUGGGACAAACGUAUGAUAAAUCGAAUUGUAAUACAUUUAAUCGGAAGAAGGAAAGGAAGACAAGAUUGAAAACUGGUGAACAACCGUUGAAAGGAUUUCAUCACUGUCUUACUGCAAUAUAAUUGUGCACAAUCAUCUGUUUCUUGGAUUACAUCUUAUAUUACAUUCUAAGCAUAUAAUGUUGCAUUAUAUUAGAAUAUGUAAUAACAGGUCUGGCUCGACUUCGUUGAAACGUGAAAGGUUGUGAUACAAUAGCCUUCUACGAAAGCCGCUUUCAGUCUCUACAAUUAAAGCUUGUAUAUGAGAGUGUUACGAUAAAAAAGACAAUUGCAUAAUCAUAAGCGUUUGCGAUGAUUAAUAAUAGUUGUUUCUCUAUUUUAUAGGUACUGUUGAAGAGGAGUGCGAUGCACGUUGUAUGAAAUCGUUGCACGUGAUGUCUUCUGGCAGAUAUGUUCGAUUAAUCUAUCUGGUCGAGAGCAAUGAUUCAUCGUAUUCGCGAAAAUUUACACUUUACACAAGCGAGAAAAUCUGGUGUGAAGUUGCGCGCAAAACUUUUUUCUCGUUGCCUCUAACCACAAGUUUAUACUUAGAACUGCUAUUUGCAACAGAUAUUUAUAUGUAUGAUAUUCUUUUUUAAGGGUCAUACAAUUUAAGAAACUGGAAGGCCACAUUUCGGACGGCAAAUAUACUCUAUAAUUCAUGUCCACUUCAAGCAUUUGUACAGGAACAAGUCGUUCUUUAAAAGCACUUGAUUUGGCACAAAUGAAGAAAUCAAUACGGUUUCUAUAAAAGGUUUCUCACGCUACGGAAGCUAAGGAUAGACAAUGAAGAAUAGUUUCUUUUAUUAAUUUCUUUCGGACGUCGAGUGUAUAGUCAACGUCAUUUAACGACUGCAUCAUACAAAGUUAUGACAGCCACUCAAUUAUGUGCAUGACAAUAAUCACUUUGUUAUUCAACUUUUUCUAAGAAAAAAAGAAGUUAAGUUUAUCAAAUGUGGACUUAGAAACAAAAUAGAUGUAGCUGACAAAAAGUUUAUAUAUUACGACGAAUCUUCUAAUACUAUUAUAAAUUGGAAGACAUUUUCGAAGACGGUAAUUUUUUACGAUCCAUACUUUGGGAAUCUCUGGCAGGAAAUAAAUAACUGUAAUAUUUCUGGCUAUUCACUGCUGACCUUGGAUGACCUUGAGCAGUUCAUGUCCCGCUGAAUAUAUAGUGCACAGAUUACGUUUUUAAAAUAAAAAGCUAGAAACUACGUAUAGAAACCGAAGAUGGCAAAUAAUACUGUUAGGCGUUUCUGCAUAAAUUUUGCGUAUUUGGCCGUAAAAUAGCCAUUUUUUAAAAAUAAGUACUCUGAAAUAGAAUUACAUUUAAAUGAUUAGACCAUGAAACAUAAAAAAUGUAUUGUUAUUGCAUUUUUCAUAUGAUGAUUAGACAUAUCAGUGAAUAUUAAAAUGACAGAAAGGAUACUUAUGUCAUACACGAAUCAACUCACGUAAUGCAUUUACAAAUAUAAAUGUAAAGUAACCGUAACGUUUUUAAAGAACAUCGCAAAAUCAAUAUUCAUUCAUUUGAUGUCAUCAUUUUGAAACGAUGAGAUUCAGUAAAAUAUCAGAUCCACCAUCGACAAAUUGUAUAUAUCGAUAUAAUUUUAUAUCUAAAUAGUUAUUGAAAAAUAAUAUUACGUGACUGAACAAAAAUAUUAAGAAAAUAGAAGACAACGUUUAUAUGCAACAAUAAUAAAAAAGAAAUAUUUAGAGUAACGUGUACUUCAUAAUGUCAUGCUAUGUUACUUAUCGAUCUGUUCGGAUAGAUAUAUACAUAUAGUGGUGCAUUCUUAACAAAGGAAUUUUUAUUCGUUAAAUUUGAGACGUCAGCGCCCAUACAACCCGUUGUCAGAUACGAAAAAUAUUUUACCAAAGGAAACCAGAUUUCAAAACAGAUAAAGAAAGGUGUGGUAAAACAGAGUGACUGGAUUAGCUUCCGGCUGAUAUAUGUUGAAUGUCAGAAAAAAUACUUAAUGUAUGAGGCAUAUUACGAAACAAUUUAUCGAGAUAGUGAACUGACGCAAAACCAGGAAACGUUGUUUGUGACAAUCAGCUGCACGCGUUUAUCGAGUUCAAACGUGAGAGUAUAAUACUUGUUUUGUGUCCCACAAAAAGAGAAUGAAUCCUGAGCUAAACUUAUUGCAGUUCGUGUAAAUUGGACAUUGGUACACAAUGAUCGAUAAAAAUGCGACAAGAAUAAAAUAUCAAAAUCCAACUCGUUACUUGGUUAUGGUUUCUAAAGUAUACGUAAUAAAAGAUUUUAUAGGUAAUUUUAUACAUCAUUGUACGCAUUCAUUAUAGAUCAGUGAGAAAGUAUUUUCAUUGUGUAUGCAGUGAUUUGACGUAAGGCCCAACGAGCCGUGCCGUCUCAUCGACCGUGGACUUUCGAUUUAGCAUGAAAGGAUUCACACGAUUUCGUUGUCAUAUUUAUAGUUUCAUGUAAACUACGGACUACAGCAGGCUACCCUAGGGAAGAUGAGAUAGAAAAACCCUAGGAUCCGUUUUUUUGAAUUCGUGUAAAAUAAGCAUGCAUGUAAAUCACAACCAUUAUAGUGACUAGUGAGGAUUUUUUCCCCUAGUGAAGUCUGUUAUGCUUGAUACGAUUCCAUAAAGACGAAUUUAAUAUAUCAAAGCUAAAUCUAAAGAACAUUCUAUACAACAGAUUAAAACUGUCAGUGAAACUGAUUAAAUUUAAAGUCUUUCGUUGUAUUUAAUAAAUCAUGACAUAGGAUCAGAAAACAUGAUGGAUGUUUAUUUCACAAACAAAUGGGAUCAUAAAUAUUGUGAACUGAAGUUUUCAAAAAAUACGACAGUUGACAAAAAGGAAAUUAAUCAAGAGUUUUCACUGCAUAGACGGUAAACGCUGGAUUUAUUGAUUUUAAUUUCGACGGGAGUGAUACAAAUAGACAAAUGACGAAGCAACUCUUUGAAACACACCUUGAAAACAAAUUGACGCAGUCACACAGGCUGUCACAUAUCAAAAACCAAACAUCAAAAACACAUUUGUUGCAAAAAUGGUAUCAUAGCAAAUGAAUUAGCUAUCAAAAAUUGGACACGUGGUAUUUCACCGAUGAAUAUGUGACACGCGCACACAUCGCGAUGUGUGGACUGUGGAUGUAACGAACACAACUACGAGAGGCGUAGAGAGGAACGAAGAGAGGAAUUAAAAGAGAGAGAGAGAAAAGAGAGAGACGAAUAACUGUAACACCAGAACCGUCACUGUCGACGAAAUACUACUGACUGUUGGCGUCGGAUUUCAAUCAGGUUAUGCAAACCCUAUGAACUCCCCACUCUUCUUUCUUUCCUCAUAUACCUACGCACGUGACUCUCCAAUGCGUUCUACAUUUAUACAAACUGUUGUAUACACGACUGUCUGUGUAAACGCGUCAUACACAAUUUGUAUAUCGCCAUUGGCGUAACUAAAAUUUUUGUUUGGGGCAGGUUCUCUGAUACUGAACUGCUCCCCUGAUACCAAGAUAGCACAAUCAACCUACUUUUUGAUACAAAUUCUGUUAAUAAUUGCGCAACCAAUAAUUCUUUCAAUUCUUUUGAAAAUAGUAAUAACAAGUGCAGUUAAAUGUAACUACAUUUUGUUAUCAUAAAAGUGAACAUAUUUUUUCAUCAGAUAAGUAAUUAUUUAGGUUUCAAAGCUGGUAGUUAUUGUUAUGAUGCCACAUUAUGUUUGUCCCUGUUGCAUUGUUUAGCAUUUUCUACCAGCUCUUCAUAAUGCAUACUAAUCUGAUACCCCAAGAACAGCUGUUAUAACUGUGCAGUAGAUUUUUUACGCGCGCAAUUCAAAGGGCGGGAAAUUCGAUUCGUGCCGCAAAUCAUUUUCAAACAAUCAAUAUGUUUAUUCAUUAUUCACAAAAUUCCUGUACAAAUAUUCGAUUUAAUUUUAGCAGAUCGAUAAUAUUUUUAUCAUCAAUCAUAAAAAGUCUGUCUCAGAACAAUUAAAAUUUAUCUCUGCAAAUUGAUGAAAUGAAUCGAUGUUUUUGAUGAUUAGAUCAGAUAUAUUUUGAAGUAUUUACAAAUUUCGAGUAGAUUACAAUUGAACUUUGAUUGUUAUCAAUAUAUUUAUCGUGAAAAGUUGAUGUGAGUGCUGUGCUUUCUAAUCAAUGCGACAAGGGAACAGCUGCCGUUAUUUUACAAUAAUUGUUGGCGUCCGAUAUUUAUCAGACAUUUAAUCAGACAUAUAAAUAAUAUAUUUGACGUAUUUAUAGACGUUUCACUGCACUGACACUUGGUAAUUUAUCUUACGCAAAUUCCUCCCGGGAUUAUUUCACGAUCAAAAUUUUUCCAUUUAGAAAUAAAAAUAUAACAAUUGUUAUCGUUAAUAUUUAUUAUAAACUACGUAAUGAAUUUUUAUAAAAUCUUCCAGGUUUUAUCUUCGAACGCUUUCACGUGAUAAAUAGUACACGUUCCUAUUAAUUAGUUAAUUAUCUUCGUACAAAAUUUUGAAAAAUCUUGAGUAAUUAAAUCGUAAGUGCGAUUGUUCGUAGUACAACAUCAAGAUUACAAAGUCUCUAAAAUUUAUCAGACGUUUACAACGACUUCAUCGCGAUUAUUUGCGAUCACCAGAUGUUGUUAAUAUGUACUGUAGAUAGCAAGAGUACUCGAGAUUACGCUCCUAUCUGUUUAAUUAUUCAACGAUCCAAAAAUAUUGGCUGAGCAUAUUAUCGGCUCCGGGGGUGUGGCACAAAUAAAGUAUAAGUACAUACUAACAUUAUCGGGUAUAUGAACCUGUUUUUGUAUUUACAAUGGCACGUUAAAUAAUCAGCAUGUCUCGGAUUUUGAGAUGAUUGAUUAGUGAUUUGAUUUAUUGAAAUCAUUAGGUAAGGAUUGAGUCCUCAGUGUAAUUAUAUUAGAAAUUACUGAAACGUGGUAGAAUCUUGUUAUGCUAUAACAUGGUCGCGUACACUAAUUUACAAAUUUAAGAUUUCAAAAAUGUGGAGGAUUGAAGAUAUAAUAAUUACAGUUAAUAAUUUCAGAAUCUAGUAUUUUGGAAAUGUUAACAAUUUUCAAUGACGCCAAUGGCAACCACAUAUUCUUAAAGACACAACAAUUUCAGUCUUCAUAACUUCGAAUUUAUCACGUUAACAACACAUCGCAAAAUAUUAUUGAAAGUUACGUAAAACAUUAUUGCGAUGUUAAAAACAUUAACAUCUCAAAUUGUUACAAAUUCAAAUGAUUUAUUUUGACGAUCGAUACUGCAACUGUUAUCAAGUGUAACGAUGAAUGUUAAGAUUUUUAUACUUGACCAAGGUCUACUUAUCUUAACGAGGGUCAGACACGUUUUCAAGAUCUAAUCAAGAGAAAAAGAAAGUCUCUUUUCUCGCUGUUAUAUCUUUAAUCUGCUGAUUUGGUAAAAAGAGUUCACUGCAGUGGAGAAAUAGAGAGUUUAAUACUGUUCAGCAAAUAAGAUAAUGUUUAUCAAGGCCACUGUUCACUACAUUAGAUGACAAGAAAACAGUGAUAACUGCAUGAUGUCUGAAUGCGAGAGAUUUAUUUAUCACUGUAUAAGUUGGAUAAACGAUGUACUAGUUCCGGGUCAACGAAUGAAGAUAUAAAUUAACGUCUCCUUUUUAUAAAAUAAUGGAGAUUUGGAGUUACCUUCCUGGUGCCGUUUUCGUUCACGAAAACACUUUGACGAGCCUUGUUCGUAGCCCUAGAAGCGG
rnacentral:lncRNA from 1 species